CUUUAAUUUAAGUCCGAAUCACCCUAUAAUCACAGUGCCGGUUAGCCGGCUAUGGUGAUAAACGGAUUGUGUAAUAAGCGCAGUGGACCCGGGGGCAGUACCCGGCGCCUCCACCAAAUUUGGUUCCGCCGGACGCGAAACGUAUUCCGGCGCACGGUAUCGGGGGCGAAACAGGAUCGACACGCGUCUAAAGACAAGCUUUUUGCCCGGUAUGGUACCGCCGUUAGCGGGCCGUUUUUACAAGUGCCAAUGAUAACGAUUUGGCCCUCGCUGCUUAAUUAAUUAGGUAAGCGCGGUCCGGGGGGCGCCGGGCAACAGAAGUCCUCC
rnacentral:tmRNA from 1 species